CUCCUCCUUGUGUCCGACCUUUGUAAUUAUGUUAUUUCUUAAACUGUUUUUAUUGUGUUGUGACUAGACCUAGCAAAGUUAGGAAUUGUGCUGUAUUAAUUCGCCUUAGCUUGUGUGUGUAUUUUUUUAAUUAGCCGCUCUAAGCAAGCUAAUACGCCCUUUUCGCGCCAUUUUUUAUUGCUGUUUAUGUUAACUUGUCUUUCAUUUUUUGUGCAUUUUUCAAUUGUUAGGGGGAAACGUGGAUGUAAAUUCGGGACAGCAGUGUCAAUUUUGUAUUUCUGUCUAUCAGGUAUUGUGCUGGUUUCUCAUUUUAUCUUGUUCUUUUCUUGUUUUAUUUUACGUGCUGUGGGGGGAGGUAUCACGCCCACUCAGACUGCCGUGGGGCGUGGCUUAGGAGGAAACAUGGAUGGAAAUUAUGGACAGCAGUGUCAUUUUUGUCUUUUGUCUACCAGUCGCAGGUAACGCAGCUGAGGUGCGCUUUCAUUGAGCGAGUCAUCCACUGCAUCAACGGGAACAGGACAGAUGUUGGAGCCAUUGACGUCUGAAAACAAAACAGCAAUUAGUGUCACACUAUGUACUUCUAAAAUUGAAUUUUUCUGUCGCUAAAUGAAAGAUCAUCUGGAGGUCUUACUUGUUAUCUUGUUGUGGUCGAGGUGUAGGUGCUCAAGGCCGGAGGGAAUGAGGGGAACUUCUGUCAGCUGAUUAUAAGAUAGCUGCAAGUCCAGAAUGCUUGAGCGAUUGAACACAUCUUUGGGGACUCCACCACUACCAAGUUUGUUGUUGUUGAGCCUCAGAAAUGCCACCUUGGGUAGACCCUUAAAAUAGCCUGCUGGGAUUUUGUCAAUGUUGUUGCCAUCAAGAUAAAGCUGGGUGGUGCUGGGUGGUAAUCCAAGAGGCAUUUUACUAAGCUGGUUCUUGGCCAAAUUGAUUUGAACCAGGUUGCUGAGACCUUUGAGACUGACCUCCGUCACUGCAUCGUCCAUCAGUUUAUUCCCUUGGAGGUCCAGGAGGCUAAGCUUCUCCAGGCCAACAAAGACACCGGCUGGGAUCUUGGAGAUCCGAUUGCGGGACAGACGGAGGUGCUCCAGGCUCGCUGGCAGGGGAGAUGGAACUGAAGACAACAGGUUGUCAUCCAUAUACAGGGUUACUGGAGCCUAUCCCUGCUAAUGCUGGGCAAAGGUGAUAUUCUCCAUGGACAGUUUGCUAGUUUAUUGUUGGAGUCUUAUAAUCCCCCUUCUGUCUGUUAAGUGUUUAACAAUGGAUGUAUUGGCUUUUUAUUUUAUUUAAAAUAUUUAUUUAUUUAUUUAUUUAACCUUACAGGCUUGGUAAAUCCUCUGAUGUUGACAAAAACCAAAAGUGUGGCCAAUACCCGGAAUGAAAAAGUCAGUGAUAAACAGUUUCUGGCCAAUGGUUUGGGUUUACCUGUAUGCAAUUCUCCUCUCUGUACACUAAAUCCUCUACUGCUUGCCAGUGUCAUUCCCAAAGUCGUAAAUGUGACUUUGGUUGUCUUCUUCUGUCAAUAUUUUGUAAGUCAAGAACAGAAAAGCUGAUUUCAUUGCAUUAAGAUUACUUUUGGCAGCAAGAUUCACACUGCUCUGAACGCUGUAACUGCAACACAAAAGUCAAAUCCCUUUGUGUUUCAGAUCUGUACAAAAGACCAAACACUGAGUUUGAGAGGAAUACAGCUUAGAGGGAUCCAAUAAACCUGAUGGACCAAAGAUGCAUAAAAAUCCA